ensembl:lincRNA Gm26600 predicted gene, 26600
ACUGCCCUGAGAGGACCUCCCACCCUCGCGCGCGCGGGGACCCGCUAGCACCGCCGCGCGCUGCUCCAUCCAACCCACGCCUGCGGCUCUCCUCCUCAGCCGUGGGGACCGACCCUCCAGUCAAGCCUCGAGCUGGAAUCUAAGGGAAAGCGCGCAGAUACUCGUUCCCUUCCUUCCUGGCCACCUGCGGGGUCUUGACACGCAUGCCCAAGGUGGCAUGUGGCCCUCGACUGCAGCCCCUCCAUGCAGGUUCUGGGAAUUGAACUCUGGUCCUUUGGAGGAGCAACAAGUGUCUUAACCGCUGAGCCAUGGUCAUCGGCACUGUUGUAUUGCUGUGAAGAGACACCAUGACCAAGGCAAACUUUAAGUGGAAGUUCACAUGCUAGGCUUGGAACGCUUCGUUUGUCUCAAGUCUUCAUCUUUGCUGCCUUCACUUCAUUGAGAGAGGCACAACAGAGAACGUCUCCUGUUGUCCCGAAUGGCCCUGGUUGAUGCUGCUGUCUUGUGCCGAUUUGGUGGAGGCCUGGCGGUUUCUUGCUGCAGAUUCCUGUUUGCUAUCCUGACACUACUCUGCUGGACUGCGGGAAUCCUGACAACAGAGAUUGGAAUCACCUGAAAGAGCUACUUCUAAUCAGGUCCACAUCCCCUUGUGCUAUUUACCAUCUUUUCUCUCCUACCUUUAUUUGUUUUUCUUUCUUCUUCUUCUUCCAUUUUUUGUUUGUUGACUUAUUUUUUUGAAGACAGGGUUUCUCUAUAUAGCUUUGGCUGUCCUGGAACUCACUCUCUAGACCAGGCUGGCCUCGAACUCAGAAAUCCACCUGCCUCUGCCUCCCAAGUGGUGGGAAGUGGUGGGAUUAAAGGAGUGGGCCACCAUUGCCGGGCUUAAUUAAUUCAUCAUCAUCAUCACCAUUAUCAUCAUCAUUUUUUUAAAAGAUUUAUUUAUUUAUUAUAUGUAAGUACACUGUAGCUGUCUUCAGACACUCCAGAAGAGGUCAUCAGAUUUCGUUACGGUGGUUGUGAGCCACCAUGUGGUUGCUGGGAUUUGAACUCGGGACCUUCGGAAGAGCAGUUGGCGCUCUUAACCACUGAGCCAUCUCGCCAGCCCUAUCAUCAUCAUUAUUUUGAAAUGGUCUUACUACUAUACUACUAUGUGACCUUGGCUGGCCAGAAACUCACUCCAUAGACCAGGCUGGGUUGAGUUUGCAGAGAUUCGCCUGCCUCUCUGAAUGGUGUGAUUAAAGGUAUGGGUUAUUAUU